rnacentral:rRNA from 1 species
ACGCUGGCGGUAGGCCUAACACAUGCAAGUCGAACGGCAGCACAGUAAGAGCUUGCUCUUAUGGGUGGCGAGUGGCGGACGGGUGAGGAAUACAUCGGAAUCUACCUUUUCGUGGGGGAUAACGUAGGGAAACUUACGCUAAUACCGCAUACGACCUUCGGGUGAAAGCAGGGGACCUUCGGGCCUUGCGCGGAUAGAUGAGCCGAUGUCGGAUUAGCUAGUUGGCGGGGUAAAGGCCCACCAAGGCGACGAUCCGUAGCUGGUCUGAGAGGAUGAUCAGCCACACUGGAACUGAGACACGGUCCAGACUCCUACGGGAGGCAGCAGUGGGGAAUAUUGGACAAUGGGCGCAAGCCUGAUCCAGCCAUACCGCGUGGGUGAAGAAGGCCUUCGGGUUGUAAAGCCCUUUUGUUGGGAAAGAAAAGCAAUCGAUUAAUACUCGGUUGUUCUGACGGUACCCAAAGAAUAAGCACCGGCUAACUUCGUGCCAGCAGCCGCGGUAAUACGAAGGGUGCAAGCGUUACUCGGAAUUACUGGGCGUAAAGCGUGCGUAGGUGGUUGUUUAAGUCUGUUGUGAAAGCCCUGGGCUCAACCUGGGAAUUGCAGUGGAUACUGGGCAACUAGAGUGUGGUAGAGGGUAGUGGAAUUCCCGGUGUAGCAGUGAAAUGCGUAGAGAUCGGGAGGAACAUCCAUGGCGAAGGCAGCUACCUGGACCAACACUGACACUGAGGCACGAAAGCGUGGGGAGCAAAC